rnacentral:rRNA from 1 species
CCUACGGGAGGUAGCAGUGGGGAAUAUUGCACAAUGGGGGAAACCCUGAUGCAGCGACGCCGCGUGAAGGAAGAAGUAUCUCGGUAUGUAAACUUCUAUCAGCAGGGAAGAAAACAGACGGUACCUGACUAAGAAGCCCCGGCUAACUACGUGCCAGCAGCCGCGGUAAUACGUAGGGGGCAAGCGUUAUCCGGAUUUACUGGGUGUAAAGGGAGCGUAGACGGAGGAGCAAGUCUGAUGUGAAAAUCCGGGGCCCAACCCCGGAACUGCAUUGGAAACUGUUUAUCUAGAGUGUCGGAGAGGCA